rnacentral:rRNA from 1 species
CGUACUCAGAGUGAAUCAUCGAAUCUUUGAACGCACCUUGCACUUUAAGAGUCAAUCUUAAAGUAUACCUGUUUGAGUAUCAUAAACAUUUAUCCAAUUUAUUUGGGAUUUGAUGGAUCAAUUAGUACGCUGAUUGUCUGUUUAAAUGUAGUAGGGAAUCAGAGAUAAGCGCGCUUAUUUCUUGAAUGGGGAUAUUUACUCUUGUAGUAAAGUAAUCAGGAAAGAAUGGGAGGCGGAUCGUUGAGACUCUUGAACCUUUCUUCUUCUUCUUCUUGUAAAAGAGAGAGAGAGAGAAAGAAUUUGUACAAAUGUGAUCUCAAAUCAGGCAAGACUACCCGCCGAACUUAGGCAUAUCAAUAAGCGGAGG